GCCAUUCGCUAGUCCCAGCACCAGGGAGUCUGUGAUGCAUGCGUGCUCUGAUAUUCAAUAACCAUUUGCGGCCUGCCUCUGCACUUCAGAAGAAACUAUAUGGAAGUUUUUAACAGGAAUUUGCAGGCACAUUCUAUUAUUGGAUCCUGCGAGCCAUGAGCAACUUCACAGGCGACAGCUAUUUUCAGGCAGAAAUAAUACUAGCAUUGCAUAAUAUUUGUGGGUUCUACCAAGUUAAUAACCUUUUUGCAUAAAGCCAUCCCCAUGCCUGAAAGUAGAAUCAGGUCAAUGUUUACAGUGUUUAAGUCGCCUUGCAGAAAGCCGUGCUGCGUCUUGAAGUUUACCAUCUUACGCAGCAGAAGCAUACCCUAUCAUCAUAGCACAGCAACCCAAUCAUGUGAAGAUAAGCACUCAAUUCCACGAUAUAUAUACAAAACAUUCCAAACAAGUACUUGAAACAUCCAUUUUUCCUUUCCAGUUAAAUAUAAAUCUUUAGAACAUUCACACAUAACCUGGGAACUAUGUUGUGUGCAUUAUUGUUGUAGUGAAUAUUUCAAAGACUGACCUAGAAAAGUGCAGGAGCCCUCGCCAGAGCAAAGAUCAAAGAGCUCCUUUGAAUGGCACACCAUAUGUAUUGCUGCCAGUAAGCUUCUUGCAGCCUAUAAUAAACUUCAAAGCUU
rnacentral:lncRNA from 1 species